rnacentral:rRNA from 1 species
UACGUAGGUGGCAAGCGUUGUCCGGAAUUACUGGGCGUAAAGGGCGUGUAGGAGGCCUUUUCAGUCAGACGUGAAAUAUGAGGGCUUAACCAUUGGACUGCGUUUGAGACUGGAAGGCUUGAGGAUCGGAGAGGGCAGUGGAAUUCCCAGUGUAGCGGUGAAAUGCGUAGAUAUUGGGAGGAACACCAGUGGCGAAGGCGGCUGCCUGGACGACACCUGACGCUGAGGCGCGAAAGCUAGGGGAGCGAACGGG